rnacentral:lncRNA from 1 species
AACCUAAAAUUUUGCCCUCCCUCUGUUUAUCUGAAAUAUAGACGUGAUGGCUGAAACUGUUGGCAUCUCCCUGAGAGCACAAAGCCUACGGUCAACUCCCACAGUGCAGUGUGGAAUCGGGAGAGGAGAGCAGCUGCUGUGCUGUGGACUUUCCCUUGCUCAGCUUCACCGUGGGAGAGGACAACAAGCUGCUCUUCUGGUUCGCCACUGUCUCAGAUCUUUUCCUAUCAAGAAUGAUAUGGCUUAGCAGCUGUCACAGGCUGGGAGGAGAACCAAGAAGCCAACCCACAUGAACCAGCCACUGCCCCAGUAAGCAACCAGCUGAUUCAGAGGAAGACAGGCUGAGAUGUUAACAACUGAAGUAAAAAAACAACUUAAUGCUUGUGUUGUUUGAUUGACUUUGCAGGCCUAAAGCUGGAGAGGACAACAAUAUGCAAUAUAACAGCUAUGAAGGAUUUCCUUCUGUCUUGUUUUUGAAAUCCAAGAUUGUUCUCACUGUUUUGUUUUGUUCCAUUUUAUUAUUUUGUUUUAUUUCCUUUAAAAUAAAAAAAAGAAUUGUAUGGUUGAAC